rnacentral:rRNA from 1 species
UCUCCGUUGGUGAACCAGCGGAGGGAUCAUUACCGAGUUUACAACUCCCAAACCCAAUGUGAACGUUACCAAACUGUUGCCUCGGCGGGAUCUCUGCCCCGGGUGCGUCGCAGCCCCGGACCAAGGCGCCCGCCGGAGGACCAACCAAAACUCUUUUGUAUACCCCCUCGCGGGUUUUUAUAUCUGAGCCAUCUCGGCGCCUCUCGUAGGCGUUUCGAAAAUGAAUCAAAACUUUCAACAACGGAUCUCUUGGUUCUGGCAUCGAUGAAGAACGCAGCGAAAUGCGAUAAGUAAUGUGAAUUGCGGAAUUCAGUGAAUCAUCGAAUCUUUGAACGCACAUUGCGCCCGCCAGUAUUCUGGCGGGCAUGCCUGUCCGAGCGUCAUUUCAACCCUCGAACCCCUCCGGGGGGUCGGCGUUGGGGAUCGGCCCUUUACGGGGCCGGCCCCGAAAUACAGUGGCGGUCUCGCCGCAGCCUCUCCUGCGCAGUAGUUUGCACACUCGCAUCGGGAGCGCGGCGCGUCCAUUGCCGUAAAACACCCAACUUUCUGAAAUGUUGACCUCGGAUCAGGUAGGAAUACCCGCUGAACUUAA